GACGAACGCUGGCGGCGUGCUUAACACAUGCAAGUCGAACGGAAAGGCCUCUUUCGGGGGGUACUCGAGUGGCGAACGGGUGAGUAACACGUGAGUAACCUGCCCUUGACUUUGGGAUAACUUCAGGAAACUGGGGCUAAUACCGGAUAGGAGCUCCUGCUGCAUGGUGGGGGUUGGAAAGUUUCGGCGGUUGGGGAUGGACUCGCGGCUUAUCAGCUUGUUGGUGGGGUAGUGGCUUACCAAGGCUUUGACGGGUAGCCGGCCUGAGAGGGUGACCGGCCACAUUGAGACUGAGGGAAGGCCGCGGCGCCUACUGGAGGAAGCUGUGGGGAAUAUUGCACAAGGGGUGGAGGCCGGAUGCAGCAACGCCGUGGGCGGGAUGACGGCCUUCGGGUUGUAAACCGCUUUCGCUCAUGACGAAGCUUUGUGUGACGGUAGUGGGUAAAGAAGCACCGGCUAACUACGUG
rnacentral:rRNA from 1 species